AUGAAGAUCAUGAGCUGUCCCAUAAUGAAAUUGCCAGUAGUCGCGAAUAUCUCCUUCUUCCCUAAUCCAAGAUUGGAGAAAGAAGAUCUAAGAGGGACCUAUGGAGAAUGUAGUUAGAAAUCCAUAAUAGAGUUCGACCACAACGACCAAAUUAAUUAUCCUCAUCGAGAAAAAUAG
rnacentral:rRNA from 1 species